rnacentral:rRNA from 1 species
UACGUAGGGGGCAAGCGUUGUCCGGAUUUAUUGGGCGUAAAGAGCGUGUAGGCGGCUAGAUAGGUCCGUUGUGAAAACUGGAGGCUCAACCUCCAGCUGUCGAUGGAAACCAUCUGGCUAGAGUCCGGAAGAGGAGAGUGGAAUUCCUGGUGUAGCAGUGAAAUGCGCAGAUAUCAGGAAGAACACCCGUGGCGAAGGCGGCUCUCUGGGACGUGACUGACGCUGAGACGCGAAAGCGUGGGGAGCGAACAGG